rnacentral:lncRNA from 1 species
AGAUUGAAAAAAAAUCAUAUGAUGAUGAUGAUGAACUAUUGUAUUAAAAGAGAGACAUGAGCAAGUGAAGAGAGUAGAGAACCUGGUGCUGCAUCAUGGGAGGUUGCUGCUGGAACUGUUGGAUCCCUCCAGGGCGUCUUCCACCACCUCCAGGGCGCUGCUGAUGUGGCUGAACCAUAGGCAUGAAGUAAUUGGGUCCAUGGCCUCCACCUGGUCUCAUCCCCGGAACAAGCUGCUGUUGGUAUCCAUAUCCGGGCUGUGUCAUUACCCACAUAAAAAGGUUAAUGAUCUUAUAAUUGAAUUCUAUAUCCAAGGUACAAGAUAGACAAGUAAAUUAAAAAAUAGAUAAAUAUCUUUGCAAGCAAUCGAACAACGAACAAUGAUGAUACCUGGGGAGGAAUCAUGGUAGGAGGGGCUUGACCAUAGAACAUCUGCUGUCCAAUACCAGGACCCCCCGGGGGAAACAUUGGCAUGCGAGGGCCAGCAGUUGGCGGCAUUGCAACUGGCCUCGGUUGGGAAAACUGAGCCUGUUCACAUCAUGUACACUCUCAGCAACAGGAGAUAAAAAUGGAAACAUGGAUAGACAACGUAGGUGUAGUUAGUAUAUCACAAAAUGGGGAGAUUCCAAGAGAAGCAAACCUGUAGUCUGACCCUUCUGUCUUCCUUCUUCUGCGCAAUAGCAACAUAGAGUGGUUUGCUUUCGACCAUCUUACCACUCAACUGUGACAUCUGCAACAUCAUUAUUCCACUGUCAGUAACAACGAAGUGCCUUACCUCACACAUACAUUGAACAAGUGUAUAUAUCCGACUUACAGCUUCUGUUGCUUCUUCGGGAGUCGAGAAAGCAACAAAACCCGAACCCUUGCUGAUUCCACUAGGAUCACGCAUCACCUGUCAUCAUAUUUAACCAAAACGCUUCUUAUAUAAUGAAGCAAGAGAGUCGUCAAUUCACUUAAAGAGAGAGAAGAUACCGAACCUUGCAAGACGUAACAGUACCAAAAGGAGAGAAUAUCUCCUUGAGUUUCUCGUCAGAUAUGCUAGGAUCCAGAUUCUUCACAUACAAGUUUGAACUCUGAAACUUUUCAGCAGCUUCCUUCAAGUUCUGCUCAUAACGGACCCUUAGUUCCGUUUCCCUCUCGGACUUCUUCUGGGCUCUACCAACAUACCACUCCUUGUCAUCAAACUUGUGCCCAUUGAGAGCCUCCACAGCCCUGGCAGCAUCAUCAGCGUUUUCAAAGUUGACAAAGCCAAAGCCCUUAGACUUCCCUUCACCGUCUUUCAUCACCACAGCACUUGUUAUCUUUCCAUACUCGCUAAAAGCCUUCUUCAAGUCAUCAUCGGUUGUGCUUUCCCCGAGAUUCUUCACGUACACGUUGGUGAACUUGGUCUUGUUAGCAGACGAGUCUCUUUCUUGUCUCCUGAGGAAAGGACCAACAUACACUUGCUUGUCGUUAAGCAACAUGCCGUUCAGUUUCUCGAUAGCUUUCUGGGCGGAUUCUUCAUCAGCGUAUUGCACAAACCCAUAGCCUUUUGACUGGCCAGAAGCAUCCACAGCCACCUUGCAGGAGACAAUGUUCCCAAAGGUUGAAAAGGUGUCAUGGAGUGCCUUGUGGUCGAUGGCCAGGUCCAAAUUCUUCAUUAUUAUAACACCAGUAAGAAAGAGAGAGAGAUAAAACAAACACACAACUGAAGAAAAACAACUAAUUUUAGUAUAAUCCCUAACAAUCACAAGACAAGAGUACCUUGAUGAAUAUGUUACCAGCACCACUUCGGCGAACACUAGGAUCACGGUGAGAGUACAUAACCCUUAUAGGUUUCCCAUAGAGAGGCAUGAAGUUCAUUUCCUGGAUUGCUCUCGCAGCUGCAAGGGAGAGAGCACAACGAAUUAACACCAAAGGAUCAACAUUUACAACACAACCCAAUCAAAUAUUUACAGUAUUACCCCUAUCAACCAAACCUAACCAGAAAGGAUCAACAUUUAUAAGUGGAAACCCUAAUCCCCUUUCUGAUAAAAAUCGAAACUUUCUCAUCUCAGAAGGCUUACCAUCUUGGGGAUUAGCGAAGUUGACGUAACCAUACCCUAGCGACUUGCGAGUGGCCAAGUCUCUGCAAACCCUAACCGAAACCACUUGACCCAUCUGGCUAAACGCCUCGAAAAGCUGCGAGUCAGUCACAUUGAGAUCCAGAUCUCCAACAUAGAGCGACGUUGUACCGAUCUGGGCCGGAGCCUGUGCUCGGCUGCACCGCCAGCUGCAACGCUCCUCAGAACAUCCAUUGCCUCUGCAACUUUAGCCUCGAGAGCUUCUGGAGACUCCAAGAGAUGGAGAACUUCGGUCUGGUCCAUCUCCAAAAGCAUCCCAGUCACUUUGGCUGCAGACUCUGCCUCGAGCUUCUCCACCAACGGGUACAGAUUCUCACCCAGCAUCUGUGUACAAACACAGACACAACUAGAGUUAGUCACAACAUUCUAAUAAAUCCCAAACAAAAGGAGUCUUCUUUUAGAGAUGAUCCUCUCUCACUCACCGUCCUCUGUUGCUCUGGAGAAGCAUUAGCCAGAUUUGAAGCCAACGUUCCAAUGGGCAAUGGCAUGUUGUUGUUGCCCAUGUCAUAUGGAGGCACAUCGCCACCACUAACACCACGCCCUUGGGAGUACCGGAUGUUCCGACCCCUUGGAUGCAUCUGAUCACCACCCAGAUAGAUUGAAAAAAAAUCAUAUGAUGAUGAUGAUGAACUAUUGUAUUAAAAGAGAGACAUGAGCAAGUGAAGAGAGUAGAGAACCUGGUGCUGCAUCAUGGGAGGUUGCUGCUGGAACUGUUGGAUCCCUCCAGGGCGUCUUCCACCACCUCCAGGGCGCUGCUGAUGUGGCUGAACCAUAGGCAUGAAGUAAUUGGGUCCAUGGCCUCCACCUGGUCUCAUCCCCGGAACAAGCUGCUGUUGGUAUCCAUAUCCGGGCU